CUUUUUUUUUUUAGUUUUGAAAAGGCGUUCCGAGCUAAAUCAAUACUGCAGCGGAUUUCGAUGCUAUGGUCACCUCGAUAGACCGAAUGUUUGUGAUAUGUGAGUGCAGGCUCCGAUACACUGUCCGCAGGAUCAGACACGCUUACAGCGGAGUCUGAUACCCAUUAACAUUUCAGAUCGCGAAAUCUUUGAGCAUGAGGUCCGAAUUCACGCAGAGCAAGACAGUCCGUAACUUAUAGGACUGCAAUCUGAUGCGCCCGAGGACGGUCGAAAGUCAGUCCGGCCGUGACGGCGCAUUCCUAGCGCCAUCUGUUUAGAAUUACUAGAAUUAUUGGAACGAGAUUUGACUAUGGUCAGUCUGGCGGAGCGUCGUGUCGAUGGUCAGCGCGAACAUGUUGAAUUUAGUUUAGUUUUCGAACGUCAACGGCGAGCGCACCACGUCUGCGACGAAUCGCUUUUUGUUCCAAAUAAUCUUGUGUCUUUUUGUUACAAAACUAAUUAAAAGUGAUUGAUUAAGUGAUUCCCUAAUUACGAGUGAAUAGAUUUUAGUGAAUUGCUGUAAGGGAGAUACUUUUUGUGAUUCUAUUGUUCCUACCCACAUAACAACUUAUUGAAGACAUGGCUUAUUCUUAUGAUAAAGGGCAUCCGCCCAUAUAU